rnacentral:rRNA from 1 species
UACGAAGGGUGCAAGCGUUACUCGGAAUUACUGGGCGUAAAGCGUGCGUAGGUGGUGAGUUAAGUCUGAUGUGAAAUCCCCGGGCUCAACCUGGGAAUGGCAUUGGAUACUGGCUCGCUAGAGUGCGGUAGAGGGUGGUGGAAUUCCCGGUGUAGCAGUGAAAUGCGUAGAGAUCGGGAGGAUCAUCUGAGGCUAAGGCGGCCACCGGGACCUACACUGACACUGAGGCACGAAAGCGUGGGGAGCAAACAGG